GACGAACGCUGGCGACGUGCUUAACACAUGCCAGUCGAACGGAAAGGCCCUGCUUUUGUGGGGUGCUCGAGUGGCGAACGGGUGAGUAACACGUGAGUAACCUGCCCUUGACUUUGGGAUAACUUCAGGAAACUGGGGCUAAUACCGGAUAGGAGCUCCUGCUGCAUGGUGGGGGUUGGAAAGUUUCGGCGGUUGGGGAUGGACUCGCGGCUUAUCAGCUUGUUGGUGGGGUAGUGGCUUACCAAGGCUUUGACGGGUAGCCGGCCUGAGAGGGUGACCGGCCACAUUGGGACUGAGAUACGGCCCAGACUCCUACGGGAGGCAGCAGUGGGGAAUAUUGCACAAUGGGCGGAAGCCUGAUGCAGCAACGCCGCGUGCAGGAUGACGGCCUUCGGGUUGUAAACCGCUUUCGCCUGUGACGAAGCGUGAGUGACGGUAAUGGGUAAAGAAGCACCGGCUAACUACGUG
rnacentral:rRNA from 1 species